UGAGUAACACGUAGGUAAUGUGCCUUUGGGUGGGGAAUAACUUAGGGAAACUUAAGCUAAUACCGCAUAAUGCAGCGGCUCCUAAUGGAGACAGUUGUUAAAGAUUUAUCGCCUAAAGAGCAGCCUGCGGCAGAUUAGCUAGUUGGUAAGGUAAUGGCUUACCAAGGCUACGAUCUGUAUCCGGUCUAAGAGGACGGUCGGACACACUGACACUGAAUAACGGGUCAG
rnacentral:rRNA from 1 species